rnacentral:tmRNA from 1 species
CUUGAAAUAUCAUUAAAGUUUAUCUAUAUUAGAAAUGUUGAGCAAUCAACUAUGGCACUAGAGGCUGUAUGAAAUAGGCUUUUAAGACCCGGGGGCAGUACCCGGCACCUCCACCAGAUUUUCUGGCAUGUCAAGUUUUUGUUUAAUAGAAUAAGACUUGAUAUGUGAGGCAAAUUUUAGGAGUUUAUUUAAUUUUCGACAGGAGUGUAGAAAAACGUACAUAACUUAGAAAAUUAAAUAAAGGAUGACAAAAUUGACCGCAGAGCAAGUUUUUUCGGGGGUGAAACAGGUUUGAUUGGAAGCAGUAAAGAUAUGUAUGUCGUGCCCGGUGAGAUACCACCGUUAUCGGUUCAAAAUCAAAUGAGUGCUAACGAUAAUAACGUAGCUCCAGUUGCAAUGGCUGCUUAAUUGUAGUCGCAACAAAUUAAAUCCUUUUAGCUUUGGAUAGUUAAAAGUGGGGUUUGGGCCACCCAGCAACAGAACGGCCC